UACGGAGGGUGCAAGCGUUAUCCGGAUUCACUGGGUUUAAAGGGUGCGUAGGUGGGCAAGUAAGUCAGUGGUGAAAUCUCCGGGCUUAACCCGGAAACUGCCAUUGAUACUAUCUGUCUUGAAUACCGUGGAGGUUAGCGGAAUAUGUCAUGUAGCGGUGAAAUGCUUAGAUAUGACAUAGAACACCAAUUGCGAAGGCAGCUGGCUACACGAAUAUUGACACUGAUGCACGAAAGCGUGGGGAUCAAACAGG
rnacentral:rRNA from 1 species